rnacentral:rRNA from 1 species
UACAGAGGCCCCAAGCGUUACUGAGAAUCACUGGGUUUAAAGGGUGCGUAGGUGGUCCGUUAAGUCAGUUGUGAAAUCCCCGGGCUCAACCCGGGAACUGCUUCUGAUACUGGCGGACUUGAGGCCAGUAGGGGUCACUAGAACUGACGGUGGAGCGGUGAAAUGCGUAGAUAUCGUCAGGAAUGCCGGUGGUGAAGACGGGUGACUGGGCUGGUUCUGACACUGAGGCACGAAAGCGUGGGGAGCGAACGGG